rnacentral:rRNA from 1 species
AUUGAACGCUGGCGGCAUGCCUUACACAUGCAAGUCGAACGGCAGCACGGGUGCUUGCACCUGGUGGCGAGUGGCGAACGGGUGAGUAAUACAUGGGAACAUGUCCUGUAGUGGGGGAUAGCCCGGCGAAAGCCGGAUUAAUACCGCAUACGAUCUACGGGUGAAAGGGGGGGCCCUUCGGGCCUCGCGCUAUGGGGUUGGCCGAUGGCUGAUUAGCUAGUUGGUGGGGUAAAGGCCUACCAAGGCGACGAUCAGUAGCUGGUCUGAGAGGACGACCAGCCACACUGGGACUGAGACACGGCCCAGACUCCUACGGGAGGCAGCAGUGGGGAAUUUUGGACAAUGGGCGAAAGCCUGAUCCAGCAAUGCCGCGUGUGUGAAGAAGGCCUUCGGGUUGUAAAGCACUUUUGUCCGGAAAGAAAUCCUUGGCUCUAAUACAGUCGGGGGAUGACGGUACCGGAAGAAUAAGCACCGGCUAACUACGUG